UCCCACCCACCCCUGACCUCGCCGUCCUCCCUCCCCUCCCCGCAUCAGCCGGCAACCUCUACGCCCGAGGAGAUCGAGCGAGCGCCCGAGCGUGCCCGUCCUCGCAGCCUCCUCCCACAAUUCCCCGCACCCGAGCCCCAUGAGAGGAGCUCCUCCUGUGGUUUUGCACGCCGCCGCCGGCGACCUCCAACCACAGCUUGCCGGAGCCAGCAGAUGAGUGCCACCCUUCUUCCCGUGCUCUCUUUCUUCCUCCUUUUUCUCUCUCACACAUCUCAAUUUCUCUCUUUGUCUCAAAUAGUGCACUCUGUCGCCAUGGACGCUCGCGUCCCCGACCUUCAGCGUGCCGCCCCAAUGCCAAGUCCCUCCUCGCCGUUCCUGCGCCGCCGAGCCGAAGCCUCGCCCAAGUCCAAGAGCUGCCGCCGUUUGCCUCCUCGCCAUGGCCUCCCCUGCUUCGUCUGCUUCGCGGACAGAGCUCCGUCUCCGUCAACGUGUCCUCCCGCCGUCUCUGUUCGCUGUCGGGCUCAAUCGACUCCAGCAGUACCCCCACGGUGACACUCCGCUCCUCCUAGCCCCCGUCUCCUGACAAGGUGGUGAACCUGCUGUUCGAGAAGAGGCCGAAGCAGUUCGGCAUCGAUGGCGCCCUGCUGACAAAGAAGGACCUCCACCGGUUCGUCAAGUGGGCCAAGGUCAUGCGCAUCCAGCGCCAGCGCCGCAUCCUCAAAUAGCGCCUCAAGGUGCCCUCGGCGCUCCAUGAGUUCACCCGCACCCUCGACAAGAACCUCGGUAUAUACGAAACUUUCCUGUUCAUUCGUCGCUGGACUCGGAAUCCACAAUGCCCGAGGUCGUUUAGUUGCUGUGAUGUAUUAUUUUGACUUGUGGGUAUGCAAUAGCUAAGUGAGCGAGUAUUAACUUGGCCAAGAUAAUGAAAAGAGUUGAUGGAUGUGUUUUAAGAUUCCUGUUGGUAGAUACAUUGGGAGCCUCCUCUUGUGUGAUAAGGGCAAUGCAUGUUGUUGUCCUACAUACCUACUACUAUAUUUAUUUUACUGAAUAUAUUGACAUGCCAUGACAUUAUGAAGUAAUAGACUGGUUAGCAGAAGCUUUCACUUCUAAGGAUGCCAGUAGGAAGAAUCAUUGUAGUUAAGUGACUGUGUGGCUGCUGUGGCCUUGCUAUGUUUGUACCUGAAGUCACACCUCUAUAAUUGCUUUUUAUUUUAUGUUGGAACGUGUCUAGUUAUGGCACGGUGAGCUCUCUCUUUCCUGGAUUUUGAAUUACUUAGUUAUGUGAUCUACUCAUGUUCGUGCUAAUUGACCAAUACAUGCUUUUCUGUAACUUUAGAUAUUUUCAAGAAUAGUUUGCUUGGUCCUUCAUAUCUAAAGCUUGCAUGUAUUGUAGAAGCUCUACUUUAUGCUAAUACCUGCUUGUGUAACAUUUUGCAUGGCAUACUUCUAAAUGGACAAGUACAUGCGACGUCCAGUGUCAACGAUGUGCGGACCAUAUGUUCAACUGCAGCCCCAUCCAUUGCAUCGACACAAACAUCUUUUGCAUCAGCCUGUCAUUGCUAAGGGAGAAGCGGGACUUGGAGAAGGAAUCUUUCCAUUAAGCAGAUUACAUGUUUGGUUGCUGUGAAGUACCAGAUAGGCUAGUUCUAUUUUUUUCAUGAUCCUGGAGUAUUUCAGCAGCGCCAUGCAAAUGCAGUAGCGUUAGGUUUCUGAUUCACCUUGUGUAAAAACUUAGUUAGCCCGCAGUCAGUCAGUAGUAGCUCAGCCAGCCAGCCAGCCUCAAAUAGUAUUACUGGAAUGAAUGGUUGUAAUAUAAUAACAUUGCACGCUGCUUUGAAAAUGUAUCAGAACUGGGCUGGGCCCAAGAUAGCUUGUGGUGUGAUGUGUUGUAAUGUCAAUGGCAUAAUAAUUUUUUUUGGAUUGGAUCAA